CAUAACUGGCUAACACCUAGAUAAUUUCACUUUUAAAAAUGCCUUCAAAUUGUUCAAAAAGUAAGAUACCAAAAAUACUGAACUCUAAAGAAUUUAAAAUGGAAAACAACUGUCAUAUUUCUUACUUGGUACAGGCAUUUCCUUAUGUAGAUUCCUUAUAAUGGAUUAAACCUAGUUUAUAGCUAGCGUAAACCUCUCACUUGUAUGACAGUCACAUAGAAUUCCAUUCAUUUGACGGCUGUUGGAGCAAAACAUAAUCCUUAUCAAGCUUCAAAAUGUUGUUACUGACGACAAAAUGAAGGUUUAUAUAAAAAAGAAUAUGUGGUAUGAUUGCCAAUGAGACCCACAAGAGACCAAAUGACACAGAAAUUAACAACUAUAGGUCACUGUACUUUACUCAAAUGAGUAACAUUAACAGCCUAAUUUAUGUACAAAAAAUUUGAACAAAAAAUAAAUAUGUAACACAUCAACAAACGAC
rnacentral:lncRNA from 1 species